CACAAUAAGAUAUGAAGGCUGUACGCGGCUGUGCUCUCGGGCCAGUUUUGCGGAGGCUGAAUUAUUUAUUACCCUUGUCUUUUGCGCACUUGUUGUUUCCUGGGCGGGUUCGCCCGCCACCAGGACCACAUCAUAAACCUUUUUUAUGCAGUUGCAAUCAGCGUCAGUAUAACAAAUGUAAAUCAUUUA
rnacentral:misc_RNA from 1 species